rnacentral:rRNA from 1 species
GACGAACGCUGGCGGCGUGCUUAACACAUGCAAGUCGAACGGUGAGGCGCGGUCCUUUUUGGUGGGUGUGGAUGAGCGGCGGACGGGUGAGUAAGUCGUGAGUAACCUGCCCCCUCCUUCUUGAUAACCGCAUGAAGGUGUGGCUAACACGGGAUAUUCUGGGCCUGUCGCUUGAUGGGUCUGGGAAAGAUAUUGUUUCGGUGGGGGAUGGUUUCGCGGCGUAUCAGCUUGUUGGUGGGGUGAUGGCUUACCAAGGCGGCGACGGGUAGCCGGCCUGAGAGGAUGGCGGACCGCACAAGUGAGGCGGCGCUGCGCCGCCUACUACGGGGGGCAGCAGGGGGGAGUACUGCACAAUGGGGGGCAGCAUGAUGCAGCGGCGCCGCGGGGGGGAUGGUGGCCGUCGGGUUGUGAUCAUCUUUCGCCGGUGAAGCAGGCCUGCCUUGUUUGUGGGUGGGUUGACGGUAGCUGGAGAAGAAGCGCCGGCUAACUACGUG